UACAGAGGGGGCAAGCGUUGUUCGGACUUACUGGGCGUAAAGGGCGCGUAGGCGGCCUGUUAAGUCGAACGUGAAAUCCCUGGGCUCAACCCAGGAACUGCGUCCGAUACUGGCAGGCUUGAAUCCGGGAGAGGGAUGUGGAAUUCCAGGUGUAGCGGUGAAAUGCGUAGAUAUCUGGAGGAACACCGGUGGCGAAGGCGGCAUCCUGGACCGGUAUUGACGCUGAGGCGCGAAAGCCAGGGGAGCAAACGGG
rnacentral:rRNA from 1 species